GUCUGCAAGGUUUAAUUCUUUUUAAUCCAGAAUAUCAUUUCCCAGUCUUACACGUUCUCUUUUGUUGUGAUGUUAUUAGUCUGGAAAAACCUGACAUGGAAAUAUUGCACUACCUCACAACUUCCAGUAUAGGUAGUUUACUCUCUGUAUUCUAUUCACACAUUGAUAUUCUUGCUGCUCUGGCCAACAUGGGUGCUAAUUAGCAGCUACACUCCUCCUGGCAGGUUGUGUGGGCACCCAUCAAGCAGCACCUGACUUGAAUUUAAUUAACAUCACCAUUUAACUGCUUUGUUAUUUGUUUUGCAGUAGUACCAAGAGGCCCCUGCCAGUGUUGGGAGCUGAAUGCAUAGAAAUGAGGGAGACAAUGAUAAACACUGCAGUGCCCUGAGAGCACUAGUAGACCUUAUUGACUCUGACCAGCCUCACCUGGGCCAAACAGGUGUGUUUAAGUUCAUGUCAGUGAGAUUACCCUUUUCUCAGUCUAUCUUAUGAGUUUGUUUUCUCUUAGUCCUGCUACUGAUUUUGUUUUCAGGGUGGACUUGGUUGUCACUGUCUGCAGUGAGGAAGAGGUAUUCAGCAGUGUCCAUCCCAGAGGAUGAACAGAAGGAAAUCAUGGAACUACCCAUGGCUUUCUCAUCUCUCAGGAGACUCCACCAGGGAAUGAUCUGUCUCACAGACUUGAACCCUUGCAGUUUUCCCUGGUAUCCUGAAGAAGCAGCAUCUGCAGCAGUAAAUAAGAAAAGAUCAAAGAGGCACUCCUAGUAAUUUAUCCAGAUUAAAGAGUGGAACAACAACUGACCCUUUGUUAGACAUCAAAGCACGCUUCUGGGAGGACAGCUGGAAGACACAAGCCUGCAGAUUUACCAUCUCCUUUUGAUGUGCUGCUCAUAAGAUGGCAUAUUAUUCUUCCCUGCGCGCACAAAGACAAAGGUGGAAAUCACAGCAUUUAUAUGGGCAAACAAGGAGGGCACAGAACAAUGCCCCUGACCCAAAUGUUUUCACCAGCUUGGACAGAGGAGGGAUUGAACGAGGGCCCCGUGUUUCAGAUCAGCCCCAGGCUUUGGCCUACUAAUUGUUGUAAGAAAUCUUUCUUUUCUGUCCUUGGAACCAUAGAGAUCUGAAAGCUUUAUUUCUAUAGUUGGGACAAAACAAAAACCUAUUUCAAAGCCAUAGUCUGUCAUGAAGGAACAACACUGUGUUUCAGAUGAUCCUAAUUUUACCAAGUUCCCCUAUUUUAAGGUCAAAAACUGUGGGGUUUUUGAGAUCUUAUACAAAGGCAUCUUGUCUCCAUAGAAAAGCACAAAUGGGAGAAAAUCCAGCCCUUCCAUCAGGGAUUUGUUCC
rnacentral:lncRNA from 1 species